rnacentral:lncRNA from 1 species
UGAUUAUCAACUUCUAACUAAUCUAGCUUGGUGUAACUAACUAGUACAGCUGGCAUGCCAGGUCAGCUAAUUAGUUCUAACAACCUGAACUAACUCUAACAAACUUAACAGACUUAAAACUAAACAACUAGCUUAUUACAAAGUAGUCCUUGAACUAUUCUUGCUUAUCAGAAUAGUCCUCACAUUUUAACACCCUCCCACAAGCUGAAGAUUGGAAGAUGUUGACCAUGCCUAGCUUUGCAGUGAAUCCCUGAAACACUCUAGGUUGUAGAGCCUUUGUGAACAUGUCUGCUACUUGAAGAGCUGUUGGAAUGGGCAAGAGCUUCAAUAUUCCAGCUUGCAACUUGUCUCUCACAACAUGACAAUCAAUCUCUAGAUGUUUGGUUCUCUCAUGGAAUACAGGAUUUGCAGCUAUGUACAAAGCACUCUGGUUAUCACAGAAUAGCACUGGAGGUUUAGUGCAAGUGAUCCGUAAAUCCUGAAGAAGAUAAAGUAACCAUUGCAACUCACAAGUUGCAUAAGCUAAGGCUCUAUAUUCUGCUUCACUAGAGGAUCUAGAAACUGUAGUUUGUUUCUUUGCUUUCCAAGAAACCAAAGAAUUCCCCAAGAAAAAACAGUAGCUAGAAAUGGACCUUCUAGUAUUUGAACAACCAGCCCAGUCUGCAUCUGAAUAGCCUUGAAUGGUAAUUGAUGAGUUUCUGGAAAAGAACAAUCCUAGACCAGGAGAUGUUUUCAGGAACUUUAAAACUCUGAGGGCAGCCUUAUAAUGAUCAGUCAUAGGGUUACUCAUAAACUGACUAAGCUGCUGAGUGGCAAAAAAGAUAUCUGGCCUAGUAGUGGUGAGGUAUAGUAGCCUACCAACUAGCCUUCUAUAUGCAGCAGGAUCUGGAUAAGGUUCUCCUUGAUUAAGAACUAAUUUGCAUGCUGGAUCAAGAGGGGUAGACACUGGUUUGCUGCCCAAAGUUCUUGUUUCUUGCAAAAGGUCAAGACAGUACUUUCUCUGACAAAGUGAGUUUCCUAGAGUAGAAUGUGCUACCUCCAGCCCAAGAAAGUACUUGAGAAUGCCUAGGUCUUUGAUACCAAAAGCCUUAUGCAAAGAAUCUUUCACUACUUGAAACUCAGCCAAGUGAUUUUCAAAUAAGAUAGCAUCAUCAACAUAAACCAGCCAAGUCUUUGAACUUGACAAAUAACAUCAUCAACAUUACAAGUCUCUUUGACUGUCUGACAAGAGUGUCAUCUUCUUCUUCUUCAAUAAGUGUUUCUGACUGAGUAUUUUCUUCUUCAAUAAUUGUUUCUGACUGAGUAUGACAAGGUAAUUAUGUGUUAGAAAAAUUCUCAUUAUCAGAAAUGAGCUCUUGUGCAGCAGAUGUAGUUUCUGGAAUGUUGAGGGAAGAAGAGCUUUGAUCUUUGACUUCUAAAUCCAAACAAGUCCAGGCUGUAGAUGUUGCACUCUUAUAAGGCAAGAUCUGUUCAUGAAAUGUCACAUCUCUUGACACAAAUAUCUCAUGUGAAUUCAGGUCUAAUAACACAAAACCUUUAACUCCUUGUUUGAACCCCAGAAAUACACAUUUCCUAGCUCUUGAAUCUAGCUUUGAUCUGCUAGAAGAUGAAGUACUAGCAAAACACAAUGAUCCAAAAACUCUGAGCUCCUGCAAAUCAAUUUUCUUACCACCAAAGAGUAUUUCAUAUGGUGAUUUAUUUUCUAAAACCUUACUUUGAAUUCUGCUCAUAAGAAACACUGCAUGUAGUAUAGCAUAUCCCCACAUUUUCUUAGGUAAAUGUGAUUGAAAAAGAAGGGCUCUAGCUAUAUUAAGUAUAUGCUGAUGUUUUCUCUCAACCCUCCCAUUCUGCUGAGGGGUAUUAACACAACUCCUCUGAUGCAGAAUACCAUGAGCAGAAUAAAAAUCAUGCAACAUAAACUCAGGGCCAUUAUCACUCCUAAUGACUUUAACAUGAUGACUGAACUGAGUUUUAACAAGGGCUACAAAAUUCUUAAUCUACUGCUGAACUUCACCCUUUCGCUUAAGCAAAAUAACCCAAACAAAUCUGCUAUGAUCAUCCAAAACAGUAAGGAAAUACCUAUGACUAUGAACUGAGGAAACUGAGAUAGGUCCCCAAAUAUCCAUGUGUAGAAGAUCAAAAUUGCACUUUGCAUUAUGUAAACUAUCUGGAAACAUUUUUCUUUUCAGUUUAGCCAAAUGACAAAUAUCACAAACAAAAUGCUUGCUUACAUCAAUAGAAGGAUACAAAGCAUUUAAGGCUAAGAUCCUAUCAUGUGAUAAAUGUCCUAACCUGAAGUGCCAUAAUGCACCGGGUGGAAUCAAUUGAUCAGAAUCACUUAUUCUUUCUACUACAUUUGGAAUAGCAAAACAGGUACUAGAAGGACUAGUGACUACUAAGUGAUAUAGAUCAUCCUCCUUCAAGCUACCCAAACCAAUCCUCUUCUUGGUGUGCUUCUCCUGAACAAAACAAGUGAAUUCACCAAAAACAACUUCACAACGAUUUCUUUUAGCAAGUUUAUGAACAGAAAUCAAGUUGUAAGUGAAUUCUGGCACAUAAAGCACAUGUGUUAACAAAAUCUGUUUUGUUAUACUCACAACCCCAGCAUAACAAGUCUGAAUAGAAAUUCCAUUAGGUAACCUAACACUAACAGGUUUUAUUCUGUUAAGUGUAUCAAAACACAGCUUAUUAAAACAUAUAUGGUCACUUGCUCCAGAAUCUAUUAUCCAAUCUCUACUAUCAUAUUGGCUAGAAUAGGAUAAAGUUGAAUGCUUACCAUUUCCUGCAGUAUUUGCUCCACAAACUGCUGAUUUUGUAACAAGAUUUGCAAAAGCUUUUCCUGACUCAGUGUGCUUCUGUGAAGCUGAAGUUGCAGUAACCUGCUGAAUCAUGGCCAUAAUUGUCUUGUAUUGAUCUGCUGUGAACAAAUCCCCAUUCCCUCUUUGUGACUUUGAGCUCUCUUCUUGAUCAUCCUCUGAAUCAUAACCUCAUGUAAUGUUAUUAAUAUGACUAACAUUGUUAAAAGCAGGUUUGGACUUAGAAGUGGUGGGAUAACCAUGGAGCCUGUAACAAACAUCCACUGUAUGGCCAGGUUUCUUGCAGUGUGUACAAUAUUUUCCAGUACUCUUGUAGCCAGAACCUGAAGAACUAGAACCAGGAGCUUUUCCCUUUCCAUAUGUCUUCUUUCCUUCUGCCAUUUUAACCAGAGACUUGGAUUCUUCAUUUUCUCCAGUUUCUGAUUGCCUCUCAUGUUGCAUAGCUAGUGAAACAACCUUUGCAAUUGGAGGUAAAGGAUUUGACAUCAGAAUUUGUGAGUUCACAACACUGAAAGUUUCAUUCAACCCCAAAAGAAAUCGUAUUGCAUUAUCUUGUUCCCUAAACAUCUUAGCAUGCUCUAUAGCCUCACAACGACAAGGUACAACACACCUGCAUUGUGGAAUUGGGCGAUAUUGCUCCAAUUCUUCCCAAAGAGUCUUGAUCUCGGUGUAGUAAUCAUUCACUGACAGAGUAUUUUGCUUCAAAUUACCAAUUUCAUUUUGUAACUCAGCAAUUCUAACCAAAACACCCUGAGAAAACCUAUCUCUCAAAUCUCUCCAUGCAUCGCAAGCAUUCUCUACGAAAACUAUGCUAUUAGCAAUAGAAGAUGUUACCGAGUUGAGGAUCCAAGAGUGGAUUAAGUUGUUGCAUCGAUCCCAGGCUUCAUAGUUUGCAUCUCCAGGUACUGCUAUUGGAAUCUCGCCAUUGAUGAAUUUGAAUUUGUUCUUUGCAACUAGAACCCGCUUCAUCGAUCAUGCCCAGGCGUUGUAGUUUCUGCCAUUCAGAGGUAGUGAGACCACUGUUGCAGAGGGGUUUUCUCCAGAAUGAAUGUAAUAGGGUGAAAUCGGAUUUUGUGCUGGCUCCAACACCACAUGUGGUUGCUGAACACCAUGCGCUUGCUGAACGCCAUUGUUGUUGUUGUUCGAUGCUUGACGCACCAUUGUAGCGGAAGAUUGAGAUGGCAGAACCCUGGUUAGGGCUCUGAUACCAUCAAAGAUUUCUUAGAGGAAAAGUGAGGAAGAAGAAGAUAAAACUUCAAUUGAAUCUCUGAUUAUUCAUCUUAACCUUCAGUUACAAUGUAAAUCACUAUUUAUAGUGAUUAUCAACUUCUAACUAAUCUAGCUUGGUGUAACUAACUAGUACAGCUGGCAUGCCAGGUCAGCUAAUUAGUUCUAACAACCUGAACUAACUCUAACAAACUUAAAAUUAAACAACUAGCUUAUUACAAACAGGUCCUUGAACUAUUCUUGCUUAUCAGAAUAGUCCUCACAUUUUAACAAUUCUGGCUUCAAUCUUUGUCAGAAGC